rnacentral:tRNA from 1 species
GAGGGUAUAGCUCAGUGGUAGAGCACGUGUUUAGCAUGCACGAGGUCCUGGGUUCAAUCUCCAGUGCCUCCA